rnacentral:rRNA from 1 species
CAGUCGCCGCGGUAAUACGUAGGUGGCAAGCGUUGUCCGGAAUUAUUGGGCGUAAAGGGCUCGCAGGCGGUUUCUUAAGUCUGAUGUGAAAGCCCCCGGCUCAACCGGGGAGGGUCAUUGGAAACUGGGAAACUUGAGUGCAGAAGAGGAGAGUGGAAUUCCACGUGUAGCGGUGAAAUGCGUAGAGAUGUGGAGGAACACCAGUGGCGGAGGCGACUCUCUGGUCUGUAACUGACGCUGAGGAGCGAAAGCGUGGGGAGCGAACAGGAUUAGAUACCCGGGUAGUCCCUGUCUCUUAUAC